CCUACGGGUGGCUGCAGUGGGGAAUCUUGGUCAAUGGGCGCAAGCCUGAACCAGCGACGCCGCGUGAGUGAUGAAGGCCUUCGGGUUGUAAAGCUCUGUGGGGAGGGACGAAAGAGUUCAGUCGAAUAGGCUGAAUAGUUGACGGUACCUCCUUAGCAAGCACCGGCUAACUCUGUGCCAGCAGCCGCGGUAAGACAGAGGGUGCAAACGUUGCUCGGAAUUACUGGGCGUAAAGCGCGUGUAGGCGGGUUUCCAAGUCAGAUGUGAAAUCCCUG
rnacentral:rRNA from 1 species